rnacentral:lncRNA from 1 species
CUUUUUUUUUAGGCCCACACCUGUGACAUAUGGAGGUCUCCAGGCUAGGGGUCCAAUCGGAGCACCAGGGCAACGUGGGAUCCACGCUGAGUCUGCAACCUACACCACCGCUUAUGGAAAUGCCAGACCCUUAACCCACUAAGCGAGGCCAAGGAUCGAACCCAAGUCCUCACGGGUGCUAGUUGUGUUAGCUAACCGCUGAGCCAUGAUGGGAACUCCAUCUCCCUCCUUAAUUUUCCCUUUCACACAGGUAGCCCCCAUCUUUUCCCAGCUUGUACCUUCUUUACUUGACUUUGGGAUUUCUCAAACCACUUCUAAUGAAUCAGGGUAAAUCUUCCAGAAAGAAAGAGAAGAAAAGUAGAUGUUGAAGAAAGAGAAGGAAUUUACCCAUACUGUUGAGCAGAUAUGUAAUUUCAGAAUUGGGACUGUUGAUCAAAAAGGCUGGUUGGACUUCCACUGCAUUUUGCUUUUUGAGGAUAUUGCCAAAAAGAGUUUGAGGAGGGAGUUCCCUUGUGGCUCAGUGGUUAACAAACCCAACUAGGAUCCAUGAGGAUGCAGCUUCGAUCCCUCGCCUUGCUCAGUGGGUUAAGGAUCCAGCAUUGCUGUGAGCUGUGAGCUGUGGUGUAGGUUGCAGACAUGGCUCAGAUCCCAUGUUGUUGUGGUUGUGGUGUAGGCCGGCAGCUGUAGCUCUGAUUUGACCCCUAGCCUGAGAACCUCCAUAUGCCUUUGGUUUGGCCCUAAAAAGCAAAAAAAGAAACGAGUUUGAAGAGAGCUUCACUUAGCAGGAGUUAAGACCAGAACCAUGAACUUGACUGCCUGUAUUCGAUGACCUAGAUGGAGCUGCACAGUCAGGACCAAGGAAGAGGAAGAAUUUCACUUCAGGAAGGCAAGUGUUCAAGACCAGAGAUAGCCACAGAAGAUAGCCACUGGCAGAUCUCUAAAGGCUGGACACCUACACAGGGCUUCUGCCUUCAUUCAAUCAGGGGCAGAGAUGUAGGCUCGAAAAGGUAGGUUCCAUGUACACAGGAUGGGUUGCAGGUGAGAACAGUGGGAAUAGCUGAUCCAGGACCGACCAGAAGCAGACCUGAGAUGACUGGCAGAGGCCCUGGCCGUCAGAGGAAAGUCAGAGACAGAGCACGUGGCCCAAAAGAGGAAAGAGGAACAACAUGGCUUUUAGAGCAGAAGAGUAAAGUGAAUAUCAAAGGCAUCAAGGACACUCAUUCUUUCUUUCCUCUUCUCCAUUCAUAGAGGUCUGAGGAAUGAGGGGAAGGUUUAAAAUGAACCUGGGAGCAAGCAGACAUGUGUCACAGAUAUGAGAACCUCUCCGUUUGCAGUGUGAAAAACUCUGGAGGAAGGCCCGGAACUUGAGCUCUGGGAAAGAUGAUUCAGGAUUCCCCUGUCCACUGCUCAGUCACGUGGGCAGAGUGAGGAAUUCGUGUAGGUUGAAGUUUGAUGGGCACAGAAAAUGUUGACUUGCACAUGAAACUAUCAAUGAUGCUUGCUGUGUUUUCAUUUAAAUCUUAAAUUCCCUUUCAGAAAACUCUUGUUAAAGUUACUGGUGGAUAUUUCAGUACCAUUCCAGUAACACUGGGCGGUGGGGGGGGGGAAGACAACAUUUACUUAAUUUAUGCAGCUUUUUUUCUGGUAAGAGUAUUUAAACUUGUCGACAAAGGUAUUAUGCCAGGAUUUCUUCACAGGAAUGAAAAGAAAGGAGUGAGGUGUCUUUUUAGGGCCACACCCAUGGCAUGCGGAGGUUCUCAGGCUAGGGGUCAAAUCAGAGCUGUAGCUGUCAGCCUAUGCCACAGCCACAGCAACGCCAGAUCCGAGCCAUAUCUGUGACCUAUGCCACGGCUCACGGCAUUGCCAGAUCCUUAACUCACUGAAGUAGGAAUUAAAUAUUCAAACUAAAUCAAUUGCACACAAUUAGUCUUUGAACACCUGCCAUAUGCUAGAACUCUAUUGGGUACCCGUCAUACAACCGUACAUAAAAUGUAUCCUUACACUUUUGGCACUUGGAGUCACGGGAAAAGACAAGCUUUAUAAAAGAAAAAAACGAAACGCUAUAUAUUGUGGCAGGUUCUCUUUAAAGUUAAGGGAAUAAGGUCGUUUAAAGGAAGAGACUCUCGAUUCUACCUGUUUGCCAUACUGCUUACCAUGACUUCAAAAAAAAUUGAGUAGAAUUUCAGGAAGGAAAAUAAAUUGAGUAGCUUUGAUUGUGCUAACAUUGAGACGCUUCUGACUUUUUACAUGAGUCUAAUGCAUAAAUUUCCCUGGACAUAAGCUAUGCAAUCUAUUUGUGGUUCCUGCGGCAUAAAGUAAACUUACAUAUUUUUUCUUUGUAACCAUAUAAAUGUUUAUCUGAUAAGUUUUCAAAUGACAUAAUGGUUUUCUAUGACUUAAAAGACAUCUCAGGAUGUAUCCUGCAACUUUACAUUUUCCUACUUGUACCCUCACCUCCAGGGAACUGAAACAGAUAGUUCAUAAAAUCUUUUAUUUUCCAUCCAAAGAACUCUCAUUGCUUAUUCAUGAUGACUUGCCCCUUGUGCAACUGAGUUGCUGGGAGCCAGAGAAGGAUGCUGUUCUACCCCAUGUUUCAGGUUGGGUUUGAACUUCAGUGCAUGCCCGCCUCUCUGUGUUUAAACAGAAUAUCUUAGUAAUUACCACCUCUUGCCAAAGCUUUUGAAUAAACGAGUGACAUGUUCUCUUGUAAUGAAGUCCCUUUGGUUGCUCUGAACAGCUCUCUCAAGCUCUCUUCUUUCUUCUGCUUUUUCCUUCAUAAACAUUUUAGAAGAAAACAUUAUGGAAACCCACCCCUCUCAUGGCAGACAGUACUCAUUAAAAACUUUAGAAAAAUAGUUGCUUCUCUCUAUAAAAUCCACAAGAUUAGUAAAGUAUUAUGAUAGCACUCUCUCUGUUAAAAAAAAAAAAGACUUAUUAGUCGAAAUAGUCCUUUAGUCUGCAGAUUAUAAGACUAUUUUAAACUAUUAUAUGCUUCAGAAUGUUAAUGGGAUUUAUAUCAUUAUUAUAUCAACCUACCCAUUAUUAUAGUAAAGUAAUAUGAAAACUAAUACAAAAUAUAAAACAAAGACCCAGGUCAGUCAAAACUACCAUGGAUUAUGAAUGGGUUGCAAAAUGCCAAGGCUGAAUGGUAUUAUUCAGGGUCUACAUACCCAACAGGAAGUAUUAUGAGCCCUUAAGACGUGACAGAGAUGGCAUUAUAUGACCAUUGAAAUGGACAUUCUCUAAUGGCACCUAGACACAUUAUCUGCAUUAAGAUAUCACACCACCACAAUGUAUUUUCUUCUACAACCAACAGUUUUCUUGUGGGUUGAACCUAAGAAUGUCUGCACAGUCACACCAAGAAAUAAAGACAAGUAACACUAAUGAAAGAAUUGAAAAGAAAGGAAAGAUUUGCAAAAGAAGGUGAGGAAAUGAAACUUCUUAUUUAAGUAAUUUCCAAAGGUGUGCAAGAGACAAUAGGUAUCACUGCUGGUAUAAUAAGUUAUCAUACUAGAAACAUUAGGCAUAUCUCUGGUGCCGUGCCAAAUGCAGGAUAAUUUCUUUCAUCAAAGAAAGGAAGAGCCAACAUAAGUUUCAUGACUUGCUAGAAGUGUUCAGACAUUUACUAUAUUUCUAAAGAUUAAUUUUUACAAUCACUAGCUUACAGUACGAAUAAACUAGAUGUAGUGUGACUUUCAGUCUACAGCCUCAGGUGUGCAUGAAAAGUAGUAUCAUAAUUUUAUGAUGAUAAUUUAUUUUCUAGUUUGAACUACUGUUUCACUGGAUGGUAGAAAAUAAGUUUCCUGAGGUUCUACCUAAUGUUGUGUAUGCUGGUAAACGAGCUAGGUAGAAAAAAAGGGGGGCUUCUUUCUCUCUUUCUUCCUUCCUUCCUCCUCCCUCCCUCCCUCUCUUUCUCUCUCUUUCUUUCUUCGCUGAGCCUGCAGCAUGUGGAAGUUCCUGGGGGCAGGGACUGAAUCCACACCAUGGCAGCCAGCCGAGCCACAGCAGUAGCAAUGACAAGGCUAUGCCACCUGGGAACUCCCAACACAGUGUACUUUAGAUGCCAUAGCUGGGGAUGGACUUGAUGGGGGAUGGCCAUGUGUGGAGACACGAGAGAAAAUCUUCUGUUAAUGUUUUCAAAUAUUCCCCUUAUCUAUUUCUCCUUCUAUUAAGCUUGGUUCUGGGAACUGGGAAUAUAUAAUAUUAUAUACACUAAGUUAAUUUUUUCAGCAUUUUCAUCACAUAGUCACUUUUCCCUGGAGCUCAAACAUUGUAAUUCCUUCUUGAUUCAGGCUUCUCCCUUUCCAUGCACAUUCAAGAUUGUCACCCCUCCUGUAUUUAAACUAUGUUAAGAGAUAGCUGGAAAAAAGAAAUCUGAAAGAAGCAAAAGAGGUCUCAAUAUUGAGCCUCUCUUUAUUUCUUCUUUGUUCCAGUCCUGGUUUUUGCUUCCAAAGGUGAAUUGUAGCUCCUUGGUAUUCUCUUAUUCUAAUCCUCUAUGGCAUCAAACUUUUAACUGUUCCUUGUAUAUCAUCAUUUUGAGAUCCAUCCCUUUCCAGAUCCCUUCUUCAGACACAUUUCACUUGGCAAAUACUGUUAGAGGGCAGCAUGGGUACAAUGCUUGAAACAUGGUCCAACCAGCACUAAGGAGCCUGAAUGUGCAAUGGGAUUCUCUCCUCCUUUGAUUUGGAUUUUACAUUGUUAUUAAUACACCUAAAUUAACUUAUAUCAGUAAUUCCUACUCUUAAGAUUCAGUCUACUAUACCCCUAAGUUCUUUUCUAAAUGAGCUACUGUGUGGAGAGCCUAGGAUAGUGAGAGAUCAUGGGCUCUAGGGUCAGA